rnacentral:rRNA from 1 species
UACGUAGGGGGCAAGCGUUGUCCGGAAUUAUUGGGCGUAAAGCGCGUGUAGGCGGCGUGACAAGUCGGGUGUGAAAGCCCUCAGCUCAACUGAGGAAGUGCGCCCGAAACUGUCGUGCUUGAGUGUCGGAGAGGGUAGCGGAAUUCCCCAAGUAGAGGUGAAAUUCGUAGAUAUGGGGAGGAACACCGGUGGCGAAGGCGGCUACCUGGACGACUACUGACGCUGAGACGCGAAAGCGUGGGGAGCAAACAGG